UACAGAGGUCCCAAGCGUUGUUCGGAUUCAUUGGGCGUAAAGGGUGCGUAGGUGGCGCGGUAAGUCGGGUGUGAAAUCUCGGAGCUUAACUCCGAAAUUGCAUUCGAUACUGCCGUGCUUGAGGACUGGAGAGGAGACUGGAAUUCAUGGUGUAGCAGUGAAAUGCGUAGAGAUCAUGAGGAAGACCAGUGGCGAAGGCGGGUCUCUGGACAGUUCCUGACACUGAGGCACGAAGGCCAGGGGAGCAAACGGG
rnacentral:rRNA from 1 species